UACGGAGGGUGCAAACGUUGCUCGGAAUCAUUGGGCGUAAAGCGCACGUAGGCGGUUUGUUAAGUCGGGUGUGAAAUCCCUGGGCUCAACCCAGGAAGUGCACUCGAAACUGGCAGACUUGAGUACUGAAGAGGGUCGCGGAAUUCCCGGUGUAGAGGUGAAAUUCGUAGAUAUCGGGAGGAACACCAGUGGCGAAGGCGGCGACCUGGGCAGAUACUGACACUGAGGUGCGAAAGCGUGGGGAGCAAACAGG
rnacentral:rRNA from 1 species